rnacentral:rRNA from 1 species
GACGAACGCUGGCGGCGUGCUUAACACAUGCAAGUCGAACGGAAAGGCCCUGCUUUUGUGGGGUGCUCGAGUGGCGAACGGGUGAGUAACACGUGAGUAACCUGCCCUUGACUUUGGGAUAACUUCAGGAAACUGGGGCUAAUACCGGAUAGGAGCUCCUGCUGCAUGGUGGGGGUUGGAAAGUUUCGGCGGUUGGGGAUGGACUCGCGGCUUAUCAGCUUGUUGGUGGGGUAGUGGCUUACCAAGGCUUUGACGGGUAGCCGGCCUGAGAGGGUGACCGGGCACAUUGGGACUGAGAUACGGCCCAGACUGCUACGGGAGGCAGUAGGGGGGAAUAUUGCACAAUGGGCGGAAGCCUGAUGCAGCAACGCCGCGUGCGGGAUGACGGCCUUCGGGUUGUAAACCGCUUUCGCCUGUGACGAAGCGUGAGUGACGGUAAUGGGUAAAGAAGCACCGGCUAACUACGUG